GGUGCAGGCGGCCUGUCAAGUCAGAUGUGAAAUCUCCCGGCUUAACCGGGAGGGUGCAUUUGAAACUGAUGAGCUAGAGUGCAGCAGAGGAAGAUGGAAUUCCCGGUGUAGUGGUGGAAUGCGUAGAUAUCGGGAAGAACACUAGUGGCGAAGGCGGUCUUCUGGGCUGUAACUGACGCUGAGGCCCGAAGGCGUGGGGAGCAAACAGGAUUAGAUACCCUGGUAGUCCACGCAGUAAACGAUGGAUACUAGGUAUGGGGAGUAUCGACCCUCUCCGUGCCGAAGCUAACGCUUUAAGUAUCCCGCCUGGGGACUACGGUCGCAAGGCUAAA
rnacentral:rRNA from 1 species